AUUAACGCUGGCGGCGUGCAUGAGACAUGCAAGUCGAACGGACGGGCGAGCUUGCUCGCCCGUUAGUGGCGGACGGCUGAGUAACGCGUGGGUGACCUGCCCCGAAGUGGGGAAUAACUGCCCGAAAGGGUGGCUAAUACCGCAUGUGGUGACUGGUUCGUUCCAGUCUCCAAAGCCGCAAGGCGCUUCGGGAGGGGCCUGCGUCCGAUUAGCUCGUUGGUGAGGUAAAGGCUCACCAAGGCGACGAUCAGUAGCCG
rnacentral:rRNA from 1 species